rnacentral:lncRNA from 1 species
AAAGGUCCUUUGGAGGCCAGCGCUCAGAGGAUUUGUUCCCGAGAGGACUCUGCAGUGUCCAAGCGCACCACAGACAGUGGCCUUGGCCCAGAAUCUGGAGAUGCAACAGCGCCGUUAUCUGGGGCAGGGUCUGCAAAAUUUCUACCAUUAAGAGGAAGUGGAGAGGCAGGAUUCCCAUGAAAUCCUGGAGCAGCUGCUCAGUCAGGGAAUCAUCCCAGCACCCCCCAUCCUUGGAGAGACUGGGAAGGCCUACAGUGUGAUGGUGUGUAUUGUUCCCCUGCAGAGGAGGCAUGUGCUGCUUGCGUAAUGUGUCUCACCAGUUAAAGGUUCCUACAGGUUAGAGAACCAAAAGAUGACUUCCCCUGAGAAUUUAGAAUCAACAGAUCCUCUGACCUUUAAUUGCUGUAAGAGAGCAUAUCAUGCAGGCCUGUGGCUACCAGUGAUACACGUUUCUAGUGGGAUGGUUGUCAUCACUCAGGUGCCCCAUCCCCUGCAUGUGGGAGACACAGGGAAGCCCUUGCGAAGACCACCUGCACGUCUGGAAUCCCUGAAGACCAGGAGCGGACAGCAAAUCACCAAGGAGGAUAUUGAGACCAGGAUGAUGAGAGCAGAAGAGCGACGGAAGGCUCAGGAAGAGAUGCUGAAGCAGAAGCUCAGAGCAAAGUCUGCACGGUUCUGUGAUGCCACCAGACCCAAAGAGCAGGAGCAGCAGGAGGAGGAAAAGGAAAACAGUCUUGACAGACGAAACAUGCCUGCUUCCAGUGAACCCCGUGAUGACAGGUCCCUCACGUUGACGUCUCAGUCAACAGAGCAGCACAGACACAAGGGCAGCUACAAGGGAGAAGGGGAGGAGACAGAAAAUUUCAUUGCCUAUGUAGAGAGUGAUGGCACCUUUAAACAGGUUUGGUCUGUGCAAAAGCAUGAUGAUGAUGACAAUGAUGAUUUUUUUCAGUCCUAA